rnacentral:misc_RNA from 1 species
GCAAACUUGGUCAUUUAGAGGAAGUACAAGUCGUAACAAGGUUUCCGUAGGUGAACCUGCGGAAGGAUCAUUAACAAGUCGCGUGUGGUGUACAGUUUUUGUAUGCUCAUAUUUGCUCAUAUUUGUGCUCUGGCAGCAUGCUAGAAUGCACCUAUACAUAUAUAUGUUGUAAUGUGUAUAUUAGUUGCAAUCAUAAUACAAAACAUACUUUUAACAAUGGAUCUCUUGGCUCUUGCAUCGAUGAAGAACGCAGC